ensembl:lncRNA novel transcript, antisense to NUP214
GCCACUCCUAGCUAUGUAACCAAAUGAAAAGUACACAUGUGCUCCGAGAGACACACACGGGAAUAUUCAGAACCUUUUCUGUAAUAGCUAUAAACUGAAAGCAGCACAUGUCCAACAGGAAAAUGAAUAAACAAAUACAGCAUAUUCAUACAAUAGAAUCCUAUACAGAGCAACUAAAAUAACAGCUAGAGGCAACAACACGGAUGGAUCUUACAAGCCUGAUGUGGAACAAGAGAAGCCUGUCCAGAGACUAAGUGAAUGGAUUUAUGUGGUAUGCAAAAACAGGCAAAACCAAAUCAUAGUGUUUUGGGAGGUAUGCUUACAUAGUAAAGCUCUGAAGGAAAACAAAGAAAAGGCGACUAAAGAGAAUGACAACUUACACAAUGCAGAAUCCUGGAUUGGAUCCUAGAUCCAAUCAACGUGUAGGGAUGCUGAUCCCACUCCAAGUCUAGAACAUCAUUCACAUCUUGGACAGCAAAUUUCACAUACUGAUGAAGGCGCCGAAUUUCCUAUAAGAAAAAAAUUAAAAGGCAUACCGGUAGUAGAGCCAUCACCACAUCUGGAGACGUUUCCAGGGUCCCAUCUGCAGCAGCAUACACUAUGGCGAAGACGUAGGUACCAAUCCACAGCACAUCCAGAACUGAAAGACACAUCUUAAUCAGUAGCUCAUAAAAAUGACAGCAACCAGAUACAAGAAAAAGCAGCUUAUGUUUGGAAUAGCCACUAUGGAUAAAAAAAAAAUCAAAGGCCCUGAUUUCAUUGACUAAAUAUAAUGCACAGGUACAAUGACCCAAGAAGCCCAAACUCAUCCCCAAAUGGUAAUUUUUCUGCUGGAUUAUAAUCAGGGCAAAUUAUGAAGAAUUGUAAUAAAAAGUCGGGAUCCAUUUCAUGUCA